rnacentral:rRNA from 1 species
AUACGUAGGAGGCAAGCGUUAUCCGGAUUUACUGGGUGUAAAGGGCGCGUAGGCGGGGAUGCAAGUCAGAUGUGAAAGCUAUGGGCUUAACCCAUGAACUGCAUUUGAAACUGUAUCUCUUGAGUGCUGGAGAGGCAGACGGAAUUCCUUGUGUAGCGGUGAAAUGCGUAGAUAUAAGGAAGAACACCAGUGGCGAAGGCGGUCUACUGGACAGUAACUGACGCUGAGGCGCGAAAGCGUGGGGAGCAAACAGGAUUAGAUACCCUGGUAGUCCACGCUGUAAACGAUGAAUACUAGGUGUGGGGGGACUGACCCCCUCCGUGCCGCAGUUAACACAAUAAGUAUUCCACCUGGGGAGUACGGCCGCAAGGUUGAAACUUAAAGGAAUUGGCGGGG